rnacentral:rRNA from 1 species
UGAAUACGAGACGCUAAGGCGUCGAAGUAGUGUAUGUCAUACUUCCAAGAAAAGCUUGCACUGUCAUAAGUAAAAGAUGCCUGUACCAUAACCGACACAGGUGGGUAGGUAGAGUAUACUAAGGGGCGCGAGAUAACUCUCUCUAAGGAACUCGGCAAAAUAACUCCGUAACUUCGGGAGAAGGAGUACCUUAUUCUAUAAGGUUGCAAUAACAAGAUCCAAGCAACUGUUUAUCAAAAACACAGGUCUCCGCUAAGUCGUAAGACGAUGUAUGGGGGCUGACGCCUGCCCAGUGCCAGAAGGUUAAAGAAGUCGGUUAGCAUUAGCGAAGCUGGUAACUGAAGCCCUGGUGAACGGCGGCCGUAACAAUAACGGUCCUAAGGUAGCGAAAUUCCUUGUCGGGUAAGUUCCGACCCGCACGAAAGGCGUAAUGAUUUGGACACUGUCUCGGAGAGGGGCUCGGUGAAAUAGACUUGUCUGUGAAGAUGCGGACUACCUGCACCAGGACAGAAAGACCCUAUGAAGCUUUACUGUAACUUGAAAUUGAAAUUGGACUUUAUUCGCGCAGUAUAGGUGGGAGGUGUUGAUUAUAAUCUUGCGGGAUUAUUGGAGCCAUCAGUGAGAUACCACUCUUGUAAUGUUAGAUUUCUAACUUUGAAUCAUUAUCUGGUCAAAGGACAGUUUCAGGCGGGCAGUUUGACUGGGGCGGUCGCCUCCCAAACGGUAACGGAGGCGUACAAAGGUUUCCUCUGAACGGGUAGAAAUCGUAUCUAGAGUGUAAAGGCAUAAGGAAGCUUGACUGUGAGACCUACAAGUCGAACAGGGACGAAAGUCGGUCUUAGUGAUCUGACGGUACUGAGUGGAAAGGCCGUCACUCAACGGAUAAAAGUUACUCUAGGAUAACAGGCUGAUCUCCCCCAAGAGUUCACAUCGACGGGGAGGUUUGGCACCUCGAUGUCGGCUCAUCGCAUCCUGGGGCGGUAGUACGUCCCAAGGGUUGGGCUGUUCGCCCAUGAAAGCGGUACGCGAGCUGGGUUCAGAACGUCGUGAGACAGUUCGGUCCAUAUCCGGUGUAGGCGUUAGAAUAUUGAGAGGAGCCUUCUUUAGUACGAGAGGACCGAGAAGGACAUACCUCUGGUGUACCAGUUAUCGUGCCAACGGUAAACGCUGGGUAGCUAUGUAUGGAGUGGAUAACCGCUGAAAGCAUCUAAGUGGGAAGCCCACCUCAAGAUAAGUA